GAGGGUAUUGCUCAAGUGGUAGAGCGCAUGCUUAGUGUGCACAAGGUCCUGAGUUCAAUCCCCAGUACCUCCU
rfam:Camelus ferus unplaced genomic scaffold scaffold649, whole genome shotgun sequence.